UUUAGUUUGACAGAAACAUAUGUGAUUGACUUAGAAUCAAUAUAUACCUUUUAUGGUAACUAUUA
rnacentral:tRNA from 1 species